GACGAACGCUGGCGGCGUGCUUAACACAUGCAAGUCGAACGGAAAGGCCCUGCUUUUGUUGGGUGCUCGAGUGGCGAACGGGUGAGUAACACGUGAGUAACCUGCCCUUGACUGUGGGAUAACUUCAGGAAACUGGGGCUAAUACCGGAUAGGAGCUCCUGCUGCAUGGUGGGGGUUGGAAAGUUUCGGCGGUUGGGGGUGGACUCGCGGCUUAUCAGCUUGUUGGUGGGGUAGUGGCUUACCAAGGCUUUGACGGGUAGCCGGCCUGAGAGGGUGACCGGCCACAUUGGGACUGAGAUACGGCCCAGACUCCUACGUGAGGCAGCAGUGGGGAAUAUUGCACAAUGGGCGGAAGCCUGAUGCAGCAACGCCGCGUGCGGGAUGACGGCCUUCGGGUUGUAAACCGCUUUCGCCUGUGACGAAGCGUGAGUGACGGUAAUGGGUAAAGAAGCACCGGCUAACUACGUG
rnacentral:rRNA from 1 species